rnacentral:rRNA from 1 species
CUUGCCAGGGAACUACGAGCCCCAGCUUAAAACCCAAAGGACUUGGCGGUGCUUUAGACCCCCCUAGAGGAGCCUGUUCUAGAACCGAUAACCCCCGUUAAACCUCACCCUCUCUUGUUCAUCCCGCCUAUAUACCGCCGUCGUCAGCUUACCCUGUGAAGGAUUAACCGUGAGCUUAAUUGGUAUAACCUAAAACGUCAGGUCGAGGUGUAGCGUACGAGAGGGGAAGAAAUGGGCUACAUUCACUGGACCAGUGUACACGAACAAUGCCUUGAAACUAGGUAUUAGAAGGAGGAUUUAGCAGUAAGGAAAGAAUAGCGUGCUUUCCUGAAAUUGGCCCUGAAGCGCGCACACACCGCCCGUCACUCUCCCCAAAAUAUAGGCCAAAUUUAAAUAAGAAGCAACUUAAGAAAAGGGGAGGCAAGUCGUAACAUGGUAAGUGUACCGGAAGGUGUACUUGGAAAAAU